rnacentral:rRNA from 1 species
AAAUUGAAGAGUUUGAUCAUGGCUCAGAUUGAACGCUGGCGGCAGGCCUAACACAUGCAAGUCGAGCGGUAGCACAGAGAGCUUGCUCUCGGGUGACGAGCGGCGGACGGGUGAGUAAUGUCUGGGAAACUGCCUGAUGGAGGGGGAUAACUACUGGAAACGGUAGCUAAUACCGCAUAACGUCGCAAGACCAAAGUGGGGGACCUUCGGGCCUCAUGCCAUCAGAUGUGCCCAGAUGGGAUUAGCUGGUAGGUGGGGUAACGGCUCACCUAGGCGACGAUCCCUAGCUGGUCUGAGAGGAUGACCAGCCACACUGGAACUGAGACACGGUCCAGACUCCUACGGGAGGCAGCAGUGGGGAAUAUUGCACAAUGGGCGCAAGCCUGAUGCAGCCAUGCCGCGUGUGUGAAGAAGGCCUUCGGGUUGUAAAGCACUUUCAGCGGGGAGGA